GCACUGUGCUGCUGCUGCCUGCCCACCCCAAGUGUGGAAAUGGAAAUGGCCUAAUAGAAUUCCAGCCCUGGUGAGGAGCCAUGGAAGGGACUCAAGACAGAUCACCAGAGCACCAGCUCCCUCCAACCUAUGGCAACACGCACCUGCAUCCAUCCUGCAGCUAUUGGGUCUGAGCUGCCACUUUCCAUCUCCUUCAGCUUACUCCAGGUCCAGCACUAUUGCUGAACGAAGAGGUGGUCAUAAGGCACAGGCUGUGCUUGUAGGACCACUCCCACUGCAUGGAAAACAGCAGCUUCUACAACCAGGAGUGACUUUUACACCAAUCUCGGCUGCUCAUCAUCUUGGUCACUUUAACCCCUUGAACUUAUUCUGUGACUGCCUUUUGGAAAGAACAGUAAGACCUGUCCUCCUUCAUUCAGGCUUCCCAUGUUGCCUCCCAUCUCCUGGUCCUAGAAUCUUGCUUCAUUUUUCCAGUGUUCUGCUGCAAUGUGGGAAGUUGGCAUCCAGCUCCAUUCUGACCAUCUGACCCUGGACUGUUAGCAAACACUGGUGCAAACUAAAGGCUGUGGCCAGAACUUCUUCCCAGUGGAUGAUAGCCAGCUUGUGCUGUCACUUACUUCUAGAACCCUGACCAUCUGACUGGAUCUCACUGUAUAGCCCUGGCAUUCCUGAGACUCUGUGUAGAACAUGCAGCUCUCAACUUCACAGAGCUCGACCACCUGCCUCUAACUCCUGAGUGUUGCAAUUACAGAUGUGCACUGCCAUGCCUCACUUCAGUACAUCAAUGGUAAGUUCCUCCAGACAUCUGAGGCAGAAUUAGACAAGUUCUGUGCUUCUUUCAUCUUAACAGGGUCAGGGAUUAAACCAAAGGUACUUUCAUCCUGGACAGACUAGAAACAGCAGCAAACUCCAAAUCUAACCUUCAGAAUAGAAGUCUAUGUCCACCAGUGAACAUAUACCUGGAUGUGAGAAGUGCCUUCAUGAAUUCUUCUGGGGACCCAAGUCAGUGGGCUGGGGAGUUACACCCUAGCUGAUACAUCCUUGGAAGCAAGGCACAGAGCAUGUAAAUGCUGCUUCCUAACCUGGUUUUCACAGGAUCCCUACCUGCAGUCCAGGUAUGAGUCACAUGACUUCAACCUGACCAAUCAGCAGAGUCCAGAUUGGUUACCUGGAUUGAGUUCUUUCUGUUUGAGGCAUCAGAUCACAGCUGAGGACUCAAGGUGGGUCACUAAGACAGCUGGUGCCUGUCUUGGGAUGUUGAAAGCAGGGCUUUCACUUUAAGGACACCAGUGGCAGAGGCAAUGCAUGAAGUCACAAAUUCUAGGUAGGCACUUCUAGUUCUACUCAUCUGACACUCAGAUACUGUAUGCUUGGCUGUUGACUUCCAUGUCUACUCUUGCUCAUGGGUCCCAGAGUGCUUUUGUUAUUUGUCAAAACCACUUUGGGUUAGAUUUUAGGCCACUGAACCUUGUUCAUACUCCCUGGCUAAUGGAGAACACAGGGCUGCAGGUUUCUGGAUUCUGAACCAACUAGGACUCUGUGCAGCCCACUCUGGACAGUCUGUGAAGAUAGAGGUGAUCUGCCCCUCCUGGUUGUAGACCAUCCCAGGAAGACCUCUGUCUUGUUCCAUGUCCUUAGUGUUCUGUUUUUCAUGUUCUAGCUCUUACAUACUGCCAGAUGUUGCAUGUGAAAGAAAACAGUGAUCUUUGUCUUUGGGGAAAUUCUAUUCACAUAUAACGCAGUCAUCCUCAGUUGUAUCCAUUUUCUGAAAAAUGUCUAAAUUUCAUUCUUGAGGGUGAAUAUGUGUUUUUUGCCCUGCAUGGUCUUUAUUUAUUUG